UUUGUCAAGUCUGUGCUCACCUCUCAGGUCAUUUAUCACAUCAUCGCCCUUAGGCCUCCCACAAGCACCCUGCUGAACAUCGCAAAGUUGGAAAGGGCUUUCCUAUGGGCGGGUACCAAUAAGACAACUGGGGCCAAGUGUAAGGUUAAUUGGAGCUCUGUCUGUCGGCCGACUGACCUGGGAGGGCUUGGCAUCCUGGACUUGGCAAAGUUUUCGAGAGCCCUUCGGCUUAGAUGGCUGUGGUUCAAGUGGACUGAGCCUUCUAAGCCGUGGAUUGGAAUGGACAUC
rnacentral:rRNA from 1 species